GCCAUCCUUUUCUUGGGGUAGCGUUAUUGUCCAAUGAACGAGUAGUGAGGGCAGUACUGCUAAUGUCUACAUAACAAGCCCUCAUCAACUAGAGAUUUGCUUUACUUUCAUGCAAUUUUUUGAAAA
ensembl:snRNA